AGUGAACGCUGGCGGUAGGCCUAACACAUGCAAGUCGAACGGCAGCACAGUAAGAGCUUGCUCUUACGGGUGGCGAGUGGCGGACGGGUGAGGAAUACAUCGGAAUCUACUUUUUCGUGGGGGAUAACGUAGGGAAACUUACGCUAAUACCGCAUACGACCUACGGGUGAAAGCAGGGGAUCUUCGGACCUUGCGCGAUUGAAUGAGCCGAUGUCGGAUUAGCUAGUUGGCGGGGUAAAGGCCCACCAAGGCGACGAUCCGUAGCUGGUCUGAGAGGAUGACCAGCAACACUGGAACUGAGACACGUCCCGGACUCCUACGGGCGGCAGCAGUGGGGAAUUUUGGAGAAGGGGCGCACGCCUGAUCCAGCUAUGCCGCGUGAAAGAAGAAGGCCUUCGGGUUGUAAACUGCUUUUGUACGGAACGAAAAGGCUCGGGUUAAGACCCGGGGCUAAUGACGGUACCGAAAGAAUAAGCACCGGCUAACUACGUG
rnacentral:rRNA from 1 species